CCUACGGGUGGCAGCAGUGGGGAAUAUUGGACAAUGGGCGAAAGCCUGAUCCAGCCAUGCCGCGUGUGUGAAGAAGGCCUUCGGGUUGUAAAGCACUUUCAGUGGAGAAGAAAGCCUUGGGGCUAAUACCCUCGAGGAAGGACAUCACCCACAGAAGAAGCACCGGCUAACUCCGUGCCAGCAGCCGCGGUAAUACGGAGGGUGCGAGCGUUAAUCGGAAUUACUGGGCGUAAAGCGCGCGUAGGCGGUCUGAUAAGCCGGUUGUGAAAGCCCCGGGCUCAACCUGGGAACGGCAUCCGGAACUGUCAGGCUAGAGUGCAGGAGAGGAAGGUAGAAUUCCCGGUGUAGCGGUGAAAUGCGUAGAGAUCGGGAGGAAUACCAGUGGCGAAGGCGGCCUUCUGGACUGACACUGACGCUGAGGUGCGAAAGCGUGGGUAGCAAACAGGAUUAGAUACCCUAGUAGUC
rnacentral:rRNA from 1 species